UACGUAGGGGGCUAGCGUUGCCCGGAAUCAUUGGGCGUAAAGCGCGUGUAGGCGGCCCGGUAAGUCCGCUGUGAAAGUCCAGGGCUCAACCCUGGGAUGCCGGUGGAUACUGUCGGGCUCGAGUCCGGAAGAGGAGUGUGGAAUUCCUGGUGUAGCGGUGAAAUGCGCAGAUAUCAGGAGGAACACCAAUGGCGAAGGCAGCUCGCUGGGACGGCACUGACGCUGAGACGCGAAAGCGUGGGGAGCAAACAGG
rnacentral:rRNA from 1 species